rnacentral:rRNA from 1 species
GACGAACGCUGGCGGCGUGCUUAACACAUGCAAGUCGAACGGUAAGGCCCUUCGGGGUACACGAGUGGCGAACGGGUGAGUAACACGUGGGUGAUCUGCCCUGCACUUCGGGAUAAGCCUGGGAAACUGGGUCUAAUACCGGAUAGGACCACUGCCUGCAUGGGUGGUGGUGGAAAGCUUUUGGGGUGUGCAGGAUGGGCCCGCGGCCUAUCAGCUCGUUGGUGGGGUGAUGGGCUACCAAGGCGACGACGGGUAGCCGGCCUGAGAGGGGGUCCGGCCAGACUGGGACUGAAGUACGGCCCAAACUCCUACGGGAGGAAGCAGUGGGGAAUAUUGCACAAUGGGGGCAAGCCUGAUGCAGCGACGCCGCGUGAGGGAUGACGGCCUUCGGGUUGUAAACCUCUCUCAGCACCGACGAAGCGCAAGUGACGGUAGGUGCAGAAGAAGGACCGGCCAACUACGUGCCAGCCGCCGCAGUAA